UGCAAAGCUAGUCAUCUCUCAGGAAGCACUUUCUAUUUCCAAAACUUUGGUUUCAUCAGUACCUGGAGCAAAGCUUCUGGCAGAAACACAAAUCCUCAUCAGGGGAGAGGCACAGGAUCAACUCACGGUUAUAAACUGGACUCCUGCUCUGACGGGUAGCAGCCAUCAACUUUGCCCGAUUCUCAUAAUUCUGAAGGGUCACCAAGGAGUUGCUACCAGCCACUGUACUUAAAGUGGUGUCACAGGAUUACAAAAUAGAAGAAAGUCUUUCUUCUCUGACUAAUAUGUUAGUGCUCUAGUAAGCAUCAAAGAUGAAAGACACACAAUGUGAGCCUGCUUUGGCCAACACAAAGUACUUACAGAAUUUUCAGGCCUACUUCCAGCCCUGGAGACAAAUUUCCCAUCAUUCUUCAUUACAGGAGUAAUCAUCCUCAUAGGGCUGUAAUAGCUUUUUUUUUUUUUUAGAUGGAGUCUCGCUCUAUCACCCAAGCUGGAGUGCAGUGGCUCAAUCUUGGCUCACUGCAAUCUCCACGGCUUGGGUUCAAGCGAUUCUCCCGCCUCAGUCUCCUGAGUAGCUGGGAUUACAGGCGUGUGCCACCACGCCCAGCUAGGUUUUGUAUUUUUUUUAGUAGAGACAGUGUUUCAUCAUGUUGGUCAGGCUGGUCUUGAACCCCUGACCUCAUGAUCUGCCCACCUCUGCCUCCCAAAGUGCUAGGAUUACAGGUGUGAGCCACCACGCCUGGCCGUAACAGCUUUUUUUUUUUUUAAGACCAGAAUGAAAUUCACAACAGUAAAGAAUAGAACUGAAGAGAAUAAGGAAAAGAAAAAAGGGGCUGAGGGAGAAGGAAAAGAAAAGAGAGUUUAAAAAGGUAGAGAAGUGUAAGAAGUGCCUUUCACCUCCUGCCAUGAUUCUGAGGCCUCCCCAGCCAUGUGGAACUGGUUCCCAGUGCCGAUUCCGACACUGUGAAGAGGCCCUUGGCAGUGACAC
rnacentral:lncRNA from 10 species